rnacentral:sRNA from 1 species
GCUGGGUAUGGUGGCGCAUGUCUGUAAUCCCAGCAGCACGGGAGGCUGAGACAGGAGGAUUGUGAGUUCAAAGCCAGCCUCAGCAAAAGCGAGAUGCUAGGCAACUCAGUGAGACCCUGUCUCUA